rnacentral:tRNA from 1 species
GGAGAUAUAGCUCAGUGGUAGAGUACUUGCUUAGCAUGCAUGAAGCCCUGGGUUUAAUCCCUAACACUG